CAAGGGCCUUUUCUUUCACCAAGACCCCGAAGCGUGUGAUCCAGAGGGCGUUCAUGGCCAACAGUACUCCGGAUGAGAAAAGCCAGGGGCUGAGUUGUGAAAACCGCAUUAGCAGCAGCGCCACACUGGCUAUGUCUCGCUCUGCCUCCACGUUCAGUUUGAGUGAUUCUCCCAAGAGCAGUGCCGUGGUGCAGCGCUCAAACUCUCUGGACCAUCCUCCUGUCAGAACCAGGGUCCCUGUCUGUAUACGUAUCCCCUGCAGCCCACCCCAAAACUCUGCCCAUAGCCCCAGCCCAAACACUGUCCCCGAGCUUAGCCAAACCCUCUGCCCCAACGAUUGCCCAGGCACCCCAGAAAGCAAGUCCACCCUUCAUGCUCCUUUAUCAACCCAACCGGCACAACCUCAUUCAGCCCUCUACACUCGCCAACAGUCCACCUCUUCGACCUGUCCCACCUCCGCUUCCAUUCCAGCUGUCCGAAACUCCGCUCAGUUCAACUCCAAAAACUACCAGCCGAAAUCUAGCGAGCACGUGUCCAGACACCUGCCCUCUGUGUUGUUCCAGCCAAGUUCCUCAGCUCCUCAGCCUGUUAAUGUCAAAGGCAGGACCUUUUCUGAGUUAUGCAGGGAUCCCCUUGUCCACUUGGACCCACGCAAGUCUGUGCUGACCAGUCCUCGCAGGGAGACUCUGCUCUAAACCAUCACUAAGCUCAGUCCUGGAGUCAGACGUGAGCAAACAUUAUUGUGGCACACCAUUCCCCCUCCAUGGUCAGCCUGCAUUCCGCGUUUGAGAGGAAGUACCACACAUUCAGUCGUUCGACCACCCAUCUCUUCUGAGACGCCGCUGCUUGGAAGCACCAGCAGGGGUCGGCCCAUCUUUUCACCUCCUUUGUCUUGACUGCUGCUAACGGCAAGAUCUGACUGGACAAGUGUAUGUGUAUAAUGUUGAAGCUACCUAGAAGCAAACUAACUAUUGUGUACAUGCUGGGGCUCUGCACAGACCUUCCAAAUACAGAAGAAAUGGCGUUAGCCGUAUUUUGAAAAAUGCACUGAAGCUAUGAACAUACUUCAAUAGGAUUUGUUGCAGUGUCAGCAUUGUCCAGCUACUGAUACAGGGGCCCAAGUAAAAUGUGUCUGUGUUGCUGAGAAAGAAAAAUGUAAUACCAUUCUUGAUGUCACAAGGCAGUUUGGUGCGUCUUGCCAAACAAGUACAAUACUUCUAUUAAGACUAGGAGCUAACUGGAAUGGUACUGCACCGUGCUAGGGGCUACAGCUAUGUGAUUACCCCAGGUCCAGGUAAGGUUUGCCUUACCCUUAAAAAUGAAGGAUGCUCUGCAAUUGUUAAUGGGUUCUUGCCAUGAUUGCAUUUUGUUAAUGUACUUUACCAGACACUUGUUACAUUUUGUGUUUAUACAUUGCCUGUUCACCUUCCUAGUUGGCAUUUUUCAGUGAAGGGUUAACACUAACUAAUAAACAUUAUGUCUGUCCCUCUGGUUUAAAUGGACACUCCGUGCUGUCCCCAAUGUCCCUGGAUGCUCGUUUUAUUUCACAGAGUAUAAUAUCAUGUAAUUUGAGGUAUUUCUGUUUAACAUAUGCAGUUUGCCAAGUUCUUUGUGUGUAUUAUUUAUGUACUAAGUUACACAGUUGACCUCUCUUGCCCUUUACUGUGUUGUGACUUUUUUAGUUAACAUGCUUGGUGAGAAACCCAUUCUAAUAACUGACGUUGUUUUAUUGUAGGGGGUAGACCUAAUUUUACCUGAUAUAAUAAUAUUAUAAUUAACCCACGUUCUAAAUGCAAACUUAUGAUAGCUUCCGGCUUUUAUAAAGCUUCUAUUUUAAUGUUUAUGGUAUUCGAGAAGAAUAAAAGCACGCUUCUUCCCUGUUGGUCCGCCUUUUAAAAUAUAUUUUUACUGUGUCCAUAUAUCUG